UACGAAGGGGGCGAGCGUUGUUCGGAUUUACUGGGCGUAAAGGGCGCGUAGGCGGCCUUGUCAGUCAGGCGUGAAAGCCCCGGGCUCAACCUGGGAACGGCGCUUGGGACGGCGAGGCUGGAGUUCGGCAGAGGAGACUGGAAUUCCCGGUGUAGCAGUGAAAUGCGUAGAUAUCGGGAGGAAUACCGAUGGCGAAGGCAGGUCUCUGGGCUGACACUGACGCUCAUGCACGAAAGCGUGGGGAGCAAACAGG
rnacentral:rRNA from 1 species